GACGGGGGAUGCAAGUGUUAUCCGGAAUCACUGGGCGUAAAGCGUCUGCAGGUGGUUUCCUAAGUCCACUGUUAAACCUUGAGGCUCAACCUCAAAUCUGCAUUGGAAACUAGGAGACUUGAGUAUAGUAGGGGUAGAGGGAAUUUCCAGUGGAGCGGUGAAAUGCGUAGAUAUUGGAAAGAACACCGAUGGCGAAGGCACCCUACUGGGCUAUUACUGACACUCAGAGACGAAAGCUAGGGGAGCAAAUGGG
rnacentral:rRNA from 1 species